rnacentral:rRNA from 1 species
GUGAAUCAUCGAAUCUUUGAACGCACCUUGCGCCCCUUGGUAUUCCGAGGGGCAUGCCUGUUUGAGUGUCAUUAAAUCCUCAACCGCGCCGAUCGAUUUCGGUGGGGCUUGGACUUUGGAGCGUGCUGGCCUUCCGGGGUCGGCUCCUCUCAAAUGCAUCAGCGGAAUCUAACCUUUGGUUUCCGGAAGUCGGUGUGAUAAUCAUGUUGCGCCGUCGUCUGACCUCAAAGUCCGCUUACAAUGGUCUUUGGACAACUUAUCAAAUUUGACCUCAAAUCAGGUAGGACUACCCGCUGAACUUAAGCAUAUCAAUAAGCGGAGG